rnacentral:rRNA from 1 species
UACAGAGGUCUCAAGCGUUGUUCGGAUUCAUUGGGCGUAAAGAGUGUGUAGGCGGUGCUCCAAGUCUGUUGUGAAAUCUCCCGGCUUAACUGGGAGGGUGCGGCGGAAACUAGAGUGCUAGAGGGUGGGAGAGGUAAGCGGAAUUCCUGGUGUAGCGGUGAAAUGCGUAGAUAUCAGGAGGAACACCUGUGGCGAAGGCGGCUCUCUGGGACGUGACUGACGCUGAGACGCGAAAGCGUGGGGAGCAAACAGG